rnacentral:rRNA from 1 species
GGGAACAGGUCUUGGCCUCUCCUCGGGGAGGGGCACGAAGAAUAGGAGGGAGCGGAGGUCGUGUGGCGGCGGUCAGCUGCGGGAGCGGCCACUCUGAGGUGGCGGCGGGCAGAGCAAGAUGAGAAGAGAUAAAAAAGUAAGGAGGGACCGGAGAGAAAGAAGAGACCUGUACCGGCACCUCAAGGUUGGGGCGGCGCAGUACCUACGGGACGCGGCGGGAGCAACCUUGGGGAGGUUGGUGCGGGCCUAGGCCGUGGCGCGACUGGCCUAGGCAGCUAAGAGCCACGGGUGCAGCGGGCGGCGGGUAGAGACCUCGGGGCGUUCAGGACGGCGUUAGCCGGAGGACGAGCACGCUCGUGAGCUCGUCUCUCUGCUUUCAGUCACGGGCGAGCCCAGCGCAACUGGCGACCGGUCGAGCGCACCCGGGGUAGAGGUAGCUGGCGCGGUCAGGUGGAGAAGCGGUCGGGUGGAGCUGAAAUCGGACCGUCGGGCAGACGGGGCUGACCGGAGUUCCGGGUUAAACACCAGAAGAACUAUCAAGGGAUAUUCCUACGCUAACACUCCUAAGCAAGCUGAUGCGAGCAAGCAGAAGAAGUACCUAAGCCAGAAGAAGGAUUGCCCUAAAGUCCGUACUUUCUUGUCCUAUACUACUUCUUAUGAAGCACUGCUUGUACGCUCGAUCCUGCGAAGGGUCAGUCUUACGGACAUCCAAUUCCGUCUACCGUACCCAGGUUCAAUAGCUGCUUCUAAAGGCGACGCUACAAUAUGAGUUCUGAACUGGUAUUACCAGGAUGAACACAUUAUGCCAUACAUACCUACAUUCUGAGAACAAUAAGUCG